GUUGUUUGGCCUCUGGCAUCCCAGCGCUGGCGCCUGCAGGCUGCUGGGUGGGGCCAGGUCUCCGCGCAAGGAGCCCGGACAACAGCCUCCACGGCAGCAUUGCUCUUCCCGGGGCUGAAUGUCCCCUAGUCGAUCUGCCACCAGUGACUGUGUCCCCAGGGUGAGCUGCAGCUGCCCUCCACCUCUCCAGGAGGCUCUCCAAGACCAGCAGAUAGUUAUGCUUUUGGGGUGCUCGUGAGAGGAGGUGCACCCAGUACUCCACCGUCUUGGCCACUCUCCUGAAUCACCUGGGAAUCUUGUUAAACUGAAGCUUCUGAUUCAGCCUGUCUGGGAAGGAACCUGAAUUCUUGUGGUUCUAACAAGUUCUCAGAUGGUGCUUAUGUGGCUGGUCCCGGGACAACACUUUGAGAAAAAAGCAUCCAGGUUCUACGCUAACAGAGCAGCCUGUCUGGGAAGUUGCUGGUCAUUAUGACAGAGGGGACAGAAGGGCAUGAGUCUUCAAGCUUCUGCCUGAAGUGACAUAGGCCAUUUCUGCCCACACAUCAUUGGCCAACGCAAGUCACAUGAAGUCCAGUUUCAGUGGGAAAAGGAGGCACUGUCUUCUCCCCGGGAAAGGAAGGCAGAGAACUCCCUCCUCCCAUUGCUACCCCACCCACAUUUAAAAGGAAUGAGCAGAAUGGCUGUCAGUGAUGAAAAAGGGAACACGAGGACCGAAGUCAUUCCAGUCCUGCUCCUGCUACCUGGGACAUCAGGUCUCUUUCAGUGGAUAGUUUUGGUGACCAUGAAGGGACCCAGAGCAGACCUCUCUCCUUCACCUGAACUCUACGAGGAUUCAGAGCCUUAGUACCAGCAGAGGCCUCUUGGGCCCAUUUACCUCCUUGGAGAGUCUGGGCAAAUUUGGGUCACACCACUGAACUGGAUAAGAAAUGACAGAACUCUAAUGGAAAACCUGAAGACUUCGUCUAGCUUAUCAAGAAUUAAUUAACUGAUAAAUAUGAUUUAUCAUUUUAUGACUUUUUCUGAAAUAUACUGGCUUUUAAUCUUUGUUUUCCAGAAAAAAAAAUUUUCCUUUUAUGCUGUGACUUACAAUGUUGACUAAGCAUACCUUUAAAAGAUGAAACACUGAUCUAUUUCUCUGUACCUGAUAGUUCCAGAUUUUCACUUCUCUAGCUGGCUCUCCUGUAGACUUGCUGGUUUAUCACAACAGAUUACAACUAGUUAUACUAAUCAUUGUUUUAAUUUGUUCUCUUUGGUUCCAAAUUAUUUAUGCUUUGUGUGUCUCUCUCCCUGUGCUAUGACCUUAUUAAUGUUACUAGCUGUAUUAUCCUGUCUAGUUUAUAAGACUGUCUCUUGCAUUACCCAGUGUGUAACCAGGUCUCCAACAAAACUAAUGUUAGCUAAAUUCUUGAGACAAUUAAUCAUGUACACAUAACUCCACAUGAAAUAAUUGUAAUAGUGUAACUGUAGGUAGGGGAAGAAGCAACAAGGGAAAACAUUCUCUGAAUCACAAGAGACUGGUAAGAUAGGCAAUCCACAGCAUUGUAGGUUAUCCACAGAGCCUAAUCCAAAAAAAUUAACACAUUGAGUAGCUUAUCAACAGAAUCUUUAUCUGAUCUAGGAAUGAGACUUCCUGGCACCAUGAGACAAAAUUGGUCAUGAAAUGUCUCCCAAAUAUUGGUUGAAUUUAUGAUGAAGGGAAAGCACUGUGAAUGAAAAAAAUGUUGCCUGCCAUAUGCCCCUGCCCCGAUGGUGAGCACUGGGGGAACUCGGGAUGGAGACUAACAGGCUGCCCGCUGCCAAGCCCUCAGCCACUGCAGACACCCUCAACCUCAGGGUGCACCCUGAGGGGACUUGGGAUGGAAAAGGGCAGGAUUCUGGCCCUAGAGAGCCAAAGUGCAAAUCAAAGGAAUGAUUUCAUUGAGCCCAGACUCUAGCAUCUUCCCAUACAAAGAAUAGCACUAAAUUCAUUAACUUGAGAUGUCUGGUUUUCUUCAAUUAACAGCACUCUUUUGCUGUUCUGACUACGUGGUCUUCGCUGUAAAACUCCUGUGUAUCCUGGCUCCUCCCUUACCUCUUCAGAGCAUCCCUCAGAACUGAGAGGCUGAUUCUGGGCUUGAAGUCCAAAAAGUCCAGCAAAUAAAAUACAACUCUCAACUUCUGGCUUGUACAUUUUUUUUUUUUUUUCAGAUGACAGAGGCAAUGGUGUCAACACAUUCAUGUCUUGCCCUGAUGAACGCCAAUUCAUUUAUCCCGUAAGUUUUUUCACAGCUAAGUAUUUUAAGCCAGGAAUCAAAAUAGGGAGCCUGGUUUCUUUCCUCUCAUUCUCCUCACCAGCCCGCAAGAUACAAAAAAAGGGUUACAGACCACUCAUUAUUCUAGAUACACUUCAGCCUUGGCUGAGAGAUUUACUUCAGCCUUGGCUGAGAGAUUUAGAAUGUUGGUCUAGAAAACUCCUAGACAUGAUCUGGUGCAGAUGUUUGUUUCCCUGUGGAGUUCCCUGAGGCUCAUUCAACUCGACAAACCUCUGUGUGGACACGCAGGUCUGCAGGCAGUGGUGUGAGAGGACGGGACAGAAGGCAGCUUCUUUCAGUCUGAACACACUCAAAUGCCUUUCACAUUCUCCAGGGCACAGAUUUAGUGUUAUGCUUAAAAACAGACAUACUAAACAACUCAGCAGGUAGCUUCUGGAAAAGCAGUGCUUCAGAAUCAGCUUGAGGUUGCUGAAAUAAUUUAAUCACUCCAGGAGGCUAGGGAAGGGUGAGAUGGAUGGAAAAUAUUUUUUUUCUUGCUGUCAAAGCUCAGAAAACUAGGAUACUGCAUCAUCUAGAUAUGCUGUAGCUUAUCUUUUUCCUUUAAAGAUCGUAAGCUUCUAGGGGUAAUCCUUGCUCCUUAUACUCUGUUAUUUGGUAUAAAGAUUUUUAAAGUUUAGCCCAAGCCAUGCUGUGGGACUUGAUAGAACUGAGGGAAAUCCAACAUGCUUUUACACACUGUUUCUACAGCCGGUUUAAUCCACCAAAAGUCUCAGCACAGAGGCAGCUUACCUGUUAGUUAAUCUUCUUGCUGACUCUCUGUUGGGUCAUUUACACUGUCAUCCUGACUAUUCAUUUCAACUGCAACCAGAAAGGAAAACAAACAGGUUAAAUAUUUGUUAAACCCAAAUCUCUUAAACAUAUUAAAGUGGGCUGUGAAUCGUUACAUGCCUGAUUUCCUGUCUUAACCUCUUUUCAGUUUGUUUUCCUUCCUUCAAGAUUUGGGGACUAUGCUUGCAGAUUUUUACUGGUGGGGGAUGGAAUUGGGCAGAAUUGCCUCUUUACGGAACUGUAGGAGCUGUGUUGUCAUUUCAUACCAGACUUUUGGGUUGAUAUUUUGGCUGUUUAUUACCAUCCUUAGGGAGAUUCAAAGGCCUUAAUAGAUGUCUAUGAAAAUAGAGAGAAAACAAAGCAAAACAGCACACUGACGUGUGGAGAAGUAAGCAGUUUUCUCCAAAACAGCAAUGCCAGGAGGCCUGCAUGGUUUCAAUUUUGAAAUUCAAAACAGACCCCAAAACUUGCCAAUGUGUAUAGUGGCAGUGGACACCACAAAAUAACCAGAUCACAGUGAUAAUAAAAUGUGUGCUUUCACUUUACUGUGUA